UGGGGAAUUUUGCACAAUGGAGGAAACUCUGAUGCAGCGACGCCGCGUGAGUGAUGAAGAUCUUCGGAUUGUAAAACUCUGUCCUUAGUGAAGAUAAUGACAGUAACUAAGAAGCAAGCGCUGGCUAAAUACGUGCCAGCAGCCGCGGUAAUACGUAUGGGGCAAGCGUUGUCCGGAAUUAUUGGGCGUAAAGGGUACGUAGGCGGUUUAAUAAGUCCUAAUUAAAAGGCUAUGGCUCAACCAUAGUAUGGUUAGGAAACUGUUGAACUUGAGUAGAUGAGGGGAAAGUGGAAUUCCAUGUGUAGCGGUGAAAUGCGUAGAUAUAUGGAGGAACACCAAUGGCGAAGGCAACUUUCUGGAAUCAAACUGACGCUGAGGUACGAAGGCGUGGGGAGCAAACAGG
rnacentral:rRNA from 1 species